CCCUAGUAACUGCGAGUGAAGCGGGAAAAGCUCAAAUUUAAAAGCUGGCGGUCUUAGGCCGUCCGCGUUGUAAUCUAGAGAAGUGUUAUCCGCGCUGGACCGUGUACAAGUCUCCUGGAAUGGAGCGUCAUAGAGGGUGAGAAUCCCGUCUUUGACACGGACUGCCAGGGCUUUGUGAUGCGCUCUCAAAGAGUCGAGUUGUUUGGGAAUGCAGCUCAAAAUGGGUGGUAAAUUCCAUCUAAAGCUAAAUAUUGGCGAGAGACCGAUAGCGAACAAGUACCGUGAGGGAAAGAUGAAAAGAACUUUGGAAAGAGAGUUAAACAGUACGUGAAAUUGCUGAAAGGGAAACGCUUGAAGUCAGUCGCGUUUGCCAGGGAUCAACCUCGCUUUUUGCUGGGCGUACUCUCUGGUUGACGGGCCAGCAUCAAUUUUGGUCACUGGAAAAAUUCCAAGGGAAUGUGGCAUCUUCGGAUGUGUUAUAGCCUUUGGUUGCAUGCAGUGGCUGGGAUUGAGGAACUCAGCACGCCGAAAGGCAGGGUCUUUGACCACAUUCGUGCUUAGGAUGCUGGCAUAAUGGCUUUAAUCGACCCGUCUUGAAACACGGACCAAGGAGUCUAACAUGCCUGCGAGUGUUUGGGUGGAAAACCCGAGCGCGUAAUGAAAGUGAAAGUUGAGAUCCCUGUCGCGGGGAGCAUCGACGCCCGGACCAGAGCUUUUGUGACGGAUCUGCGGUAGAGCAUGUAUGUUGGGACCC
rnacentral:rRNA from 1 species